GGAUAACUCAGUCAGUGGAGCACGAGAUUCUUGCUCUCGGGAUCAUGGGUUCGAGUCCCAUGGUGGUCA